ACAGAUGGACCGUUAAGCCAGCCCAGGGGACGGCAGAGCAGCCUGAGGGAGCAAGAACUGUCACCACGGUCUGCCCGCGAAGCACUGAGGUGAUGCUGGGGUUGCAGUGAGCUGUCAAACUAGAUGUGUCAGAAAUGAGAAAGGAGAUGAGAGAACAAAUUAGAAUACAGAGUGAUCGACACUUUGAUGAAGGAAGUAAGUGGAGCCUGGGGUCCAUGAAACCCACUGCCAAACCAACCCAGACAGAGACAAAGUAUCCCUAUGUUUCCCAGGCUGAUCUCAAACUCCUGGCCUGAACUGACCUCCUGCCUCAACCGACCUCCUGCCUCAACCUCCAAAGCACUGGGAUUAACAGCAUAAGCCACUGUGCCCAGCCUAAUUUUUACUUUUCAACUUUGUACGUUGCGGUGUUUUUAAUACCCCUGCCAAGACCACAGUUUUAGACUCAGUGUGACAUUACAAGCAUCCUGGGUGGAACUGCAAGACAUAGUUAUUUCAAGAUUAUGAAGAGUGUGGUAGCCAAACUCCAAGAUGGCCGCAUGAUCCCUCCUCCAGGUACUCGUGCCCUUGUAUGGUAUGCUCCCACAGUCUUCCGAGGAUUCCGUUGUAUGACUGAUCGAAUACAGCAGAGGCGAUGGCAUAGGACAUCUGAGGCUACAUCAUCUAAGGGAUACACAGGAAUUCACUCCCAUCCUCCCAUGUGGCUUCUACUUUGCUCUUAAUCUCUCAGAUCUCUCACCCUGGCAGACACCAUCCACCAUGUCCUGAGGACACUCAAGCAGCUCUGUGGCCUCCUGACAAUAGCUGUUAGGUGAAACACCUUGGGUGCAGACCCUCUAGCCCCACUCCAGCCUUCAGAAGACAGCAGCCCCAGCUCACAUGGGACCCUGAGCCAGACCACCAAGCAAACCACUCCCAGAUUCCUGACCCACAGAAACUGUGAGAUAAUGAAAGUCUGCUGUUAGAAGUCACUAAGUUCAGUGUAACUGUCACGGGCAAGAGACAGCCAAUACAAUACUUUCGUGCUUCAUACAUCAUUUUUCCAUCUAUCCAAAAUGGGAAGAAUACUUCACAGACUUGAUGUGAAGCUGCAAGACUCCUGGUACUCCACUGAUGCAGUGUGGCUACCAGCAAAUGCUAAAUUGCAUCUUUGACUCCGCUGACACUCCUGAGGCAGUGCUGGUCCGGAUGUUUCUCAGUGUGGACUCCUCGUCCCAGACCGAGGAUGCUGGGGGUCCCUAACCUUCCACCUUCCACUCCAGCAACACUUUGCAUCUAGGGAGCAUCUGCAAUGCUAUGCACUACUUUUUUUAUUUAUUUUUUUUUUUUUGAGACAGAGUCUCCCUCUGUCACUCAACCUCCCAAGUUGCUGGGACUAUAGGCACCCGCCACCACACCUGGAUAAGUUUUUGUAUUUUUAGUAGAUACAGGGAAUCGCCAUGUUGGCCAGGCUGGUCUCGAACUCCUGACCUCAGGUGAUCCACCUGCCUCGGCCUCCCAAAGUACUAACAUUACCGGCCUGAGCCACCACACCCAGCCACUGUGUAUUUCUUGUGCAUUUUCACCCUGAAUCCUUACUAGGGUAUUAAGAAGUAGGUCUUAACCUCAGCCCCGUCUCACAGGUGAAGAAGCAAAAGAGAGGCUGACGGAUUUGUCCAAGGUAACACAGCACUCAGCAGGGUUGCAGUGGAGCCUCAGCUUGAACUGAGCAUGCCUACUGCAAACACUGGGAUGUGAAUCACCGUCGUAGUAUUCCCAAAGCCUUCGUCCACCUUUCCACGAGGUACAGCGCAGGAGCAUGUUAAAGCUGGCCACCAUCAACUCUAGGGAACUGCUCCUGCCUCAAAAGUGUCAGCAAUGCCUAAAGCUCUACAAUGUCAUUAAUCAAAAGUCAGCAAGGCCGAGGCGGACAGAUCACCUGAGGUCAGGAGCUCCAGACUAGUCUGGCCAACAUGGUGAAACACCGUCUCUACUAAAAGUACAAAAUCAGCCAGGCUGUGGUGGCGGGCACCUGUAAUCUCAGCUACUUGGGAGGCUAAGGGAGGAGAAUCGCUUGAACCUGGGAGGUACAGGUUGCAGUGAGCCAAGACCACCGCCAUUGCACUCCAGCCUGAGCGACGAGAUCAAAACCCCAACUCAAAAAAAAAAAAAAAAAAAAGUCAGCAAGCUUUGGCCUGGGGUCACCCCUUUAACUUCCUGGGCAGAGAGAGGGUCGUGUGUGUCUCAAGCAAGACCCUGUCUCAAAAGAGAGAGGGCGGGAGAGCAACGGAGAGAAAGAGGGAAGGACAGAGAGGUGCAGAGAAAGCGGGAGGGGGGUGGGAAGGAGAGGUGUAUAAAAAGAGAGAGAGACAAAGAUAUAGACAGACACAGAUAUCAAAAGAGAGAGAAACAGAGGGGGACAGAAGCUACCUACUCUUUCCUGUACCAGCCACAAGAAUUACUCAGACCCACCCACAGAGUUCUGGGAUUUCUGUUUCUGUACAUCGUUUCUGAACUUAUAAUGAGAAGACACAUAUUUUAUUGUUUCUCUUUUUGCAGUUUUCUAGUAGACAUUGGUCAUGGAAAAAUCUGGUGACCAAGAAAUCAAAAAUGUGUUUGUUCCCCUCCUUCCUCAACACAGAGAAUGGUCCUCAUGCCACAUCCACCCUCCAGCUUAUUGAAGUGAACAAAUAAACACAAAUGAUGUCCCCUGCUUCCAGC
rnacentral:lncRNA from 1 species